rnacentral:rRNA from 1 species
CACGUAGGGUGCGAGCGUUGUCCGGAUUUAUUGGGCGUAAAGAGCUCGUAGGCGGUUUGUCGCGUCGGCCGUGAAAUCUCCACGCUUAACGUGGAGCGUGCGGUCGAUACGGGCAGACUUGAGUUCGGUAGGGGAGACUGGAAUUCCUGGUGUAGCGGUGAAAUGCGCAGAUAUCAGGAGGGAACACCGGUGGCGAAGGCGGGUCUCUGGGCCGAUACUGACGCUGGAGGAGCGAAAGCCGUGGGGGAGCGAACAGG